AGAGUUCUUUAAUUUCCCAUGUACUGACAUGACUUGUUAGAUUUAACAAGUAAUGAGAUUUUGAAACUAUCAUCUAAGAGCUAGCUAGGAUCUUAGCAAGGCUUGUAUUUUAGUGGCUUGUAACCAGAAUAAUAUUUAAUUUAAAACAUACCUUUUGGUGGUCUUCAAUGCAUUCUUUGCACUAUGCACGAUAGUCCAUGCUCCUAGCUGUCGUGAGUGACUAGUUGUGACAGGUUUGCUAGAUGAAGUUGCAGCAUCGAUGUUGUAGAAUGUGCAGAAGACGAUUC
rnacentral:lncRNA from 1 species